ACAGCACAAACGUAACGACCAAUUCAGUUUCAAAACAAGAUGCCAGCUGAGGUGAUGAUUUUAGAAGGCUGGAAGAGGAAUGUCUUUCGCGGGUUCCAAAAAGACAACAGAGAAGGUGUGUGUCUGACAUGCGGUGGGAGGGUGUUCCAAAGGUGCCACCACACUAAAGGCCAUGAACCCGAAAUUAUGCAGAAGGCAGCUGAGCAGAUACGAUCUGCAGAACACCCUCUCCAGCGUGAUGCAGGGGUGUUUUGGGUACGUACAGG